GAUGAGCGCUAGCGGCAGGCCUAACACAUGCAAGUCGAGGGGUAGCAGGAUUAAGCUUGCUUAAUUGCUGACGACCGGCGCACGGGUGCGUAACGCGUAUGCAACCUACCUUAUACUGGGGUAUAGCCCGGAGAAAUUCGGAUUAAUCCCCCAUAGUACUACUGAAUCGCAUGGUUUAUUAGUUAAAGCAUUGCGGUAUAAGAUGGGCAUGCGUCCUAUUAGCUAGAUGGUGAGGUAACGGCUCACCAUGGCUACGAUAGGUAGGGGGCCUGAGAGGGUGGUCCCCCACACUGGUACCGAGACACGGACCAGACUCCUACGGGAGGCAGCAGUGAGGAAUAUUGGUCAAUGGGCGCAAGCCUGAACCAGCCAUGCCGCGUGCAGGAAGAAUGCCCUAUGGGUUGUAAACUGCUUUUAUUUGGGAAUAAACCUCUUUACGUGUAGAGAGCUGAAGGUACCAAAUGAAUAAGCACCGGCUAACUCCGUGCCAGCAGCCGCAGUAA
rnacentral:rRNA from 1 species